AUAUUACUAAGCGGAGGAAAAGAAAUCAACGAAGAUUGCCUCAGUAGCGGCGAGUGAAGCGGCAAUAGCUCAAGUUUAGAAUCUGUGAUCGUCUCGGUCACCGAAUUGUAAUCUAAAGGGGCUAACAAAAGGGGAAGUAGAGGCAUAAGUUCCUUGGAACAGGACGUCAAAGAGGGUGAAAACCCCGUAUGUAGCCUUUACCGAACCGAAUGUUGACCUUCAAAGAGUCGGGUUGUUUGGGAUUGCAGCCCUAAAUGGGAGAUAAACUUCUUCUAAGGCUAAAUAUUUAUGGGAAACCGAUAGCGAACAAGUACUGUGAAGGAAAGGUGAGAAGAACUUUGAAAAGAGGGUUAAAAGACUUGAAAUCGUUGAGAAGGAAGCGGUAGAAGUGGAUUUAUUAGUUAUGAAGCAACCCGUGUAAGGCACCGGCUCACAGCGGUUAUGUACGUCAUUGGCUACCCGUUGUGAAGUAACGGCACUUUGCGGGGAUUUCA
rnacentral:rRNA from 1 species